rnacentral:sRNA from 1 species
GACUUGCAGGGGUCGGAGCGCGGGGGCCGGCCGAGAGGAAAGCUGGAGGCGCGGGUGGGGAACAUGUCGGAGUCAGAGCUCGGCAGGAAGUGGGACCGGUGCCUGGCGGAUGCGGUCGUGAAGAUAGAGAUGGGGUUUCACCAUGUUGCCCAGGCUGGUCUUGAACUCAGGGUCCAAAUGAUCCACCUACCUUGGCCUCCCAACGUGCCGGGAUUACAGGCCUGAGCCACCACACCUGGUCCAUCUUGAUAAUUUCAUACUCUGGCUUGGCAAAGACGGAAGGGAAGCCAUGGUGAAUGCACAGCAACUUCUGUACUGGUUUUGGAUUAGGAAUUGUUUUCUCACUUACCUUCUUUAAAAGAAGAAUGUGGCCAUUAGCCUUUGGUUCCGGCAUGGGAUUAGGAAUGGCUUAUUCCAACUGUCAGCAUGAUUUCCAGGCUCCAUAUCUUCUACAUGGAAAAUAUGUCAAAGUAUGUACAGAAUAUAUAUUUCUCUUUCCUUCAGAAGAAAAAGAUUUCUCCUGAGCCCCUGAAGAAUUCUUUAGACUGUUUGUAAUGAGUAAACCAUGUGUGUCAUUGUGGCACCACUCUCAGAUACUAAUUGCUCUUUGGCCUUCAGUGAUGUCAUCACUGCUUUGGUGCUAAAGUCUCCCCGUGCCUUCAGAUGCAUAUGUGCGU